CACUACGCCACCCAACCGUGCCGUUCUGUGAAGAACGGCACGGUUGGGUGGCGUAGUGG
rnacentral:pre_miRNA from 1 species